CGAGAGCGAGCGCGCGGCUUCGCGAGGACCUCGGCCCGCGCGCCUUCCACUCAGCGGCGGCCUUCUCGUGCGCACCCGCGGCUCCCAGCAUGUCGGCGGCGGCAGCCCCCGCUGCGGAGGGAGAGGACACCCCCACGCCGCCCGCGUCCGAGAAGGAACCUGAGAUGCCGGGUCCCAGGGAGGAGAGUGAGGAGGAAGAGGAGGAGGACGACGACGAUGAGGAUGAGGAGGAAGAAAAAGAAAAGAGCCUUAUCGUGGAGGGCAAGAGAGAGAAGAGGAAAGUAGAGAGGCUGACGAUGCAGGUGUCUUCCUUACAGAGAGAGCCGUUCACAAUCGCACAAGGUGAGUUUGUACGGCUUUGAUGGAAAGUGCUCAGUUAAGCUAGCCAACCCCUGGUAGCAGCAUGCC
rnacentral:lncRNA from 1 species